AACGAACGCUGGCGGCAUGCCUAACACAUGCAAGUCGAACGGGUACCUUCGGGUGCUAGUGGCGCACGGGUGCGUAACGCGUGGGAAUCUGCCCUUGGGUUCGGAAUAACUCAGCGAAAGCUGUGCUAAUACCGGAUGAUGUCGAAAGACCAAAGAUUUAUCGCCCGAGGAUGAGCCCGCGUUGGAUUAGCUAGUUGGUGGGGUAAAGGCCUACCAAGGCGACGAUCCAUAGCUGGUCUGAGAGGAUGAUCAGCCACACUGGGACUGAGACACGGCCCAGACUCCUACGGGAAGCAGCAGUGGGGAAUAUUGGACAAUGGGCGAAAGCCUGAUCCAGCAAUGCCGCGUGAGUGAUGAAGGCCUUAGGGUUGUAAAGCUCUUUUACCCGGGAUGAUAAUGACAGUACCGGGAGAAUAAGCUCCGGCUAACUCCGUG
rnacentral:rRNA from 1 species